rnacentral:sRNA from 1 species
AACGAAAAAAGAAGUCCAUCUCAUAGCAGGUUGAAAUGAAGUGGGAGAGAAAUCUCUGGUCAUCGUUCUAUCGCUCCACUGACACUCGGUGUCUUUUCUUUCAGAAGAGGGGCUUGAGCAGAGAGAAUGCUUAGAGGCUAAGCGAUGGGCAAGUGAGAGGGAAAGAGCCGCGACAGAUAGAGCUGGCUGCCUAGGGGUCUCAGAGGCUUCAUCCUGCAGGCGGCAGGACAAAGGGUGUUUCGGAAUCCCGAUGAAGAUUCGAAGGAGUUAAACGCUACCACGCAGCCCGACCUGGAUGGGAUUUGCUCCUGGGUACAAAACGGGACACUGAUCAAAAUCAACUUGGACAAGUGACAAGAGUAUUGCGCAGCGAUGCACGGCCAUCAAGUACCACUUUUCUCAGCCCAUCCGCUUACGAAACAUUCCUUUUAAUUUAACCAAGACCAUACAGCAAGAUGAGUGGCACCUGCUUCAUUUAAGAAGAAUCACUGCUGGCUUCCUCGGCAUGGCCGUAGCCGUCCUUCUCUGCGGCUGCAUUGUGGCCACGGUCAGUUUCUUCUG